AUGCCAUCUUGGCAGCGUCAACAAACAGAAAUCCAGAGAUUGACUUCUAGUUGGGAAUCGGUCACGAUAAUCCUCAAUCUAGGUGCGUUGCAUAGAUUGAUAAGGAAGAGGCCUGAAGACAGGAUAAAUAUUCUGACUCUUUUUGUUUUUUUCAAUCGCCCAAUCUCCCUGUAUUCUGUGUAUCUUGUGAUUGUUGGCGGUAAAUUUGUAAUUGUAGCGGUGAUGAUGAUGAAGUGUUGGGAAUAUUUGCAUAGAAUUCCUAGAGAGGAUGAAGAUGUUGUGAUGGUUGUUGAUUGA